rnacentral:sRNA from 1 species
GUACAAGCCUGGUGCUGUGUCCCCGGGACAGUCCUGAGUUGCUGCGUUACACGGAAGACACUUACCCCUCAAUAAAUAUUUCUGAAAUGGAUGGAUCUUUAUUUCACGAACAGUCCAAGAAAUGUGUCCAGGCUGCGAGGAAGGAGUCGAGUGACAGUUUCAUUCCACUCUUACGAGACUGCACCAACUCGAAUAAUCAGAAAUGGUUCUUCAAGGAGCGCAUGUUAUGAAGCCUCGUGUAUCAAGGAGCCCAUCGAAGGAGACUGUGGAGCCAGGACUCUGCCCAACAAAGACUUAGCUAAGCAGUGACCAGAGCCCACCCAAAACUAGGCUGCUUUGCUUUGAAGAGGCAAUCAUUUUGCCAUUUGUGAAAGUUGUGUUGGAUUUAGUAAAAAUGUGAAUAAGCUUCGUACUUAUUUUGAGAACUUUUUAAAUGUUCCAAAAUACACUAUUUUCAAAGGGUAAUCAUAAGAUGUUAACCCUUGGUAUUUAGAAAAUUAAAACCUUAUAAUAUUUUUCUAUCAAGAUGUAUAUUUUACAGUUGUGCCUUUUACUCUCAUUAGCAAAAAAGGUAAAGAUUUUAUUUUGAUAUUUACAAGAAUUCCCAGGUAUGAAGAUAUCUGCAUGGGUGGAAAUCAGGUUCAAGCAACGUACUUUGCAUUAACUGAUAAUACCUCAGCUGUGGGGUUAAAGUUUUCCCAGUAUAGAGAGACUGUCACUAGGAACAUUGUAUUGAUUUAUUCAGGUCAUUGAGAUCUUCUAGAUGUAUUUU